UACGAAGGGAGCGAGCGUUGUUCGGAAUCACUGGGCUUAAAGGGUGCGUAGGCGGAUAUACAAGUCAGAAGUGAAAUCCCAGGGCUUAACCCUGGAACUGCUUUUGAGACUGUAUGUCUGGAAUUCGGUAGAGGUUGGUGGAACUCCUAGUGUAGAGGUGAAAUUCGCAGAUAUUAGGAAGAACACCGGUGGCGAAGGCGACCAACUGGACCGAUAUUGACGCUGAGGCACGAAAGCGUGGGUAGCAAACAGG
rnacentral:rRNA from 1 species